AGCAGCCAAUCAGCGUCCCCGCGGCUCCCGGUUAUAACUCCUCCGCGGAAGCGCCCGGACUCAGACCGUCCCCCCGACGCCGACGAUGCGAGUCCUGAGGCCCCCCACCCUCCUCCUGCUGCUCUCGGGGGCGCUGGUCCUGACCCCCAGCUGGGCCGGCCCCCACUCCCUGAGGUAUUUCUACACCAUCGUGUCCCGGCCCGGCCGCGGGGAGCCCCGCUUCUUCGCCGUCGGCUACGUGGACGACACGCAGUUCGUGCGGUUCGACAGCGACGCCCCGAAUCCGAGGAUGGAGCCGCGGGCGCCGUGGAUGCAGCAGCCGUGGGUGGAGGAGGUGUACCCGGGGUAUUGGGACCGGAACACGCGGAACUUAAAGGGAACCGCACAGACUAACCGAGUGGACCUGCAGACCCUGCGCGGCUACUACAACCAGAGCGAGGACGGGUCUCACACCUUCCAGAGCAUGUAUGGCUGCGACCUGGGACCCGACGGGCGCCUCCUCCGCGGGUACGACCAAUACGCCUACGACGGCGCCGACUACAUCGCCCUGAACGAGGACCUGACCUCCUGGACCGCGGCCGACACGGCGGCUCAGAUGACGAAGCGCAAGUGGGAGGCGGCCGGUGUGGCAGAGCGUGACAGGAGCUACCUGGAGGGCCGGUGUGUGGAGUCGCUCCGCCUUUACCUGGACAAAGGGAACGAGACCCUGCAGCGCGCAGACCCUCCAAAGGCACACGUGACCCACCACCCCGUCUCUGCGCGUGAGGUCACCCUGAGGUGCUGGGCGCUGGGCUUCUACCCUGCGGACAUCAGCCUGACCUGGCAGCGUGACGGGGAGGACCAGACCCAGGACAUGGAGAUGGUGGAGACCAGGCCUGCGGGGGACGGCACCUUCCAGAAGUGGGCAGCCGUGGGGGUGCCCCCUGGAGAGGAGCAGAGAUACACGUGCCAUGUGCAGCACGAGGGGCUGCCCGCGCCCCUGACCCUGAGAUGGGAGCCGCCUUCUCACACCUUCAUCAUCAUCAUGGGCAUCGCUGGGGGCCUGGUUCUGCUGGGAGCUGUGGCUGCAGCUGUGAUGUGGGGGAGGAGGCGCUCAGGUGGGAAAGGAGGGAGCUACGCUCAGGCUGCCAGCAGUGACAGCGGCCAGGGCUCUGAUGUGUCUCUCUCGGCUUCUAAAGCGUGAGGCCGCUGCCUUGUGGGGACUGAGUGAUGGAAGAUGGUCACGCUCCCACUUCCUGACUCAGGAACCUCUGAUGGGGGGCUGGCCCCGCCCUGCUCCCCACACUUUCCUGUCAGCAGAGUUGGGCUGGGCCCUCCCCAUCCCUGCCUUUACUCCCUGGUGCUCUGAGCUGCCACUUCCUGCUCAUUAUUGAAAUGAGUCUCUGAUGUGACUUUGUUCAUUGCUUGCCAUGGAGCGUUGAUGGGUUGAUUAAAGGAGAAGAUCAUAAAGUUUGAGAGGAAAGGGAUGGAAGCACUGAGAACUUUCCAGAAGCCACGUGUUUGCAGUGCUGAGCCUGUCCCCGGUGGGACAGGAGGGGCUGUGAGGAGGAAGCGUGGUUGGGGCCUGUGCCUGGUCAGUGCUCAGUGCAUCGUGGGCUUUGAUGUGGUCACUCCUCGGCCGGGUCACCUCUCUGCUCCUCUGUCCUUGUCCCUCAGUGGAACCCUGUCCCACCAGGACCUGUGGUCACAGGGAUUCAGGCCUCCCCCAGGCCUUGCCACGUGUCCUCAUGCAGCGCGUCUCCAGGACCCUGGACAGCGAGGCCUCCUGGGGCAGGUCAGCCUGGGCUCAAGCCAGGGUCCCGCCCUCCACCCUCAUCUGCUGGGUGUUUUUAUUUCUCUUUUUUUGGUGGAUAGUCUGCCUGUUCCUGCUUUUGUGUGAGAGCUUUGGUCUCAUUGUCUGGGUGUCCCCAUCUUAUAGCCACUGGAGGCAUUUUGCCCGUCAUUGUCCCACAGGCCCAGGGCUCCCUGCACACAGGACCCCGUGGUGUGGAGAGAUGGGUGUUCAGGCUCCUCCUGCUCCUGCCUCCUUCUAGGGCCCUGUUCUCCCCUGUCAGCCCCUCCCUGCUGCUCCUGAGGGGCCCUGGAACUCCUGGGUUCUUGAAAUCACAGCUGAGGUGACAAAUAUGUAGACAUCAUCAAUCAUGAUCCUUAUUCGGUAAUCAUUUCAUCAAUACCAUUUAUCAUAUUAAAUCCCCAACAAUCAAUGUGAAAUGAAUGCUGCCCUGUGAGAUAUUAAAGUCAGUUCCUAAUCUAAGGAGGUUAAUAAAGUUACAUGGAAAUUAUUCAGGAAAUACGUUUUCCCUUUGAGCAGUGCAGCUGUUGAAAGAAGUCCCUCUUUUUUAAGGAAUAUUGAAGAUUUUAUGUACAUUUUAUCUCAGCGUGGAUAUGAGCAAUACCCGCCUUCCAUUGGCACAGUUCUGAUGUUGGACUUGGGUCACAUCACUCCUGCGUGAGGGGAAAUGUUAUUUUCUAGAGGAAGAUAAACACUUUGGAGAAUGAAGAGUUGUUUUACCCAUUUUCUGUAGGUUUAGUCCAUUCCUAUUUCUGUGAGACUCUGUCGUGUUACAGAGAAAAUCCAGGUAAGAGCUUGGUUUUCAGUGAGUUGCUUCUCACACCUGCAUUGUUUUUACACGGCUGAUCCUCUAAUUUGGCUGAUGGGAUGGAUAAACCCUGUGAGACAGUGUGGAAGGUGCCAGGGAUAGAGGUGCCACCUGGGUUUCCAGUUCAUCACUGAAAUGUAGACACGGGGUUCUGCUCCCACUCGGGGUGUAACAUGAGCUUUGCCAUCUUGGGGUCCAUCUCUGCUGCCAAGGUCACUGUCCCUCUGGCCCGAGCCGGUGUCUCCAUGGUGUGUCCCUCACAGAGUCACCCCCUGGCCUGUGGCACUUUCUCCCCUGCAAGGCCUCCCCGUGCGAUCCCCUGAGACCAGAGGCCCCUUCCCCCCAGCACCCUGAUGCUGGCGGCCCCGUUACCACUGCCACCUGCUGCCCUCCAUUUCUGCUCUCUGUGUCCCUGCCUCAGGGGACGCUCACGUGGCUGAUGCAGACCUGCCAUGUCCUGCUUCCUGCCUCCUGGCUCUGUGUCCCUUGCUGCUGAUUUUAAGGGUCGUGGAGCGCCUGGGACCCUGUGCUGCUGGGCGUGACUAUUGACGAUCUAACCUGUGGAUGGCAGUUGCUGUGAUAUUCACAGCGACACUGCUCAGGGCCCCUCCGCGGGAGGCCAGUGUGGCCAGGGAGCCCGCAGGAGCUUCUAGAAGGGCUGCAGGUAUAACUGACAGGGUGCAUGGGGAGGCUCAGGGGCACAGCGCGCUGCUCUGAUGCGUUCCAUCCAUUCACAGUCAUCCCUGCGCUGCCGAAGGAUGGUGACUCUCUGAGAAAUGGGUGCUUCUGCGCCUUUGACGUUGUGCGAACAUCAAGGGCCCUAACACCCAGAUGGUCUAGCCCAGUGGUCGGCAAACUCAUUAGUCAACAGAGCCAAAUAUCAACAGUACAACAAUUGAAAUUUCGUUUGAGAGCCAAAUUUUUAAAACUUAAACUAUAUAGGUAGGUACACUGUUAUUAACAUAAUUAGGGGUCUCCUAAGGCUUAGGAAGAGCCACACUCAAGGGGCCAAAGAGCCGCAUGUGGCUCGUGAGCCGCAGUUUGCCGACCAUGGGGCUAGCCGACUGCUCGGCAGGGCUUGCUCCGGGGCUGAGCAUGGACCCGCGCACCAGGAGGUCCCCAGUUUGAUGCCCUGUUAGGUUCAUGAGGGGUUUUGGGAUCCAACCCCAGUAGGGGGCUUGCAGGAGUCAGCCAAUCCAUGUUUCCAUCUCUCUCUCUUUCUCUCUCUCUCCCCCCUCUCGUACUCUCUCUAAUAAUCAAUAAAAACAUUUUAAAACAAACAAAGAAAAAACCCCCAGCUCUCCUGAUGCUCACAGUGCGACAGGAAGGACAGGGAAUGAUGGGAACGGGCACAGCAGGGACUCCCAUGGGCUGUGCUCCCGGCAUCUGUGGCCGGGAAACCACAAUCCCACAGUCACAGCCUUGACUCCUGUUCUGAGGGCUGAGCGCUCAGCGGCCCCCCUUCUGCUCCGAGUGACACAGGUUGGGGUGGGGUCAUUGGAGGCCCAGCUGGACCAGAACAUUCUAGAGGGUCCCUGAAGGGGUGCAGCUGGUGCUGGAAGCCGGCUGGAGGUCUUGGGCUAUGAGGUGGGUGCUGCUCCCAGCUGGGCCCCUGGCUUCAGGGGGCAUGGGCCAAGGGCACAGGUCACACCCAAAGGCCCCUCAUGUCACACCCACAGCCCCUCAUGUCAGACCAACAGACACCAUGUUUCAGACCCAUAGUUGCAAUCUUCUUCAUUAUUCAAAUGAUUUCGUUCCAGAUUUUCAAGUUUAGACGUUAAGUUGACAAAUACAUGAGUCCAAAUGCUACCUUGAAAACCUGCAAGUUGCAUCUCUAAAUCAUCAAUUUGUAUCCAUUGGAAAUCCUUUAAUUCCAAAGUACUAUAAACAACUACAUCCAGAUACUUAAUUAUUUGAAUGGUCUGUUCUAUGCUUCUAACGUGGUUGAAUCUUUCGCUGAACUGUUCAAAUAAUGAGUUUACUAUAUAAUGGUACAUAAGUAUGGGCUCCAUUGCACUCGUUGUAGUGGCCUUCUCCAAAUACUUUUUUUUAUCCGAGCUUGUGUUCAUUGAUUGGUCUGAAACUUCCCCCAAAAAUGGUGGCGGUCAGGUUUCCUGCUCCUGAGGAACCACUUCCCAGUCACACUGGAAUGAAAGAUGUGGGUGCUUCGGAGAUGCUUGUCCUGGGACCUGCAGGGGAGAGGUAUGGGUCUGCAGUCACUGAGCCCAAUGGACUGAAUGGAGGUCCUGGGUUCCAUUUCAGUCAAGGUCAUGUACUGGUUGGGAGCAGGAUCCUGGGCCCUGGUCCUGUGCUUGGGGGAGGCAACCAAUCAAUGUGUCACUUUCAACAGAUAUUUCUCUCUGUCUCUUUGCCUCCUUUCCACUCUCUCUAAAGAUCAAUGGAAAAUAUAUCCUCCAGUGAGGUUUAGCACCACAACCAUCAUCAACAACAAAAAAAGUUAGAAUAAAAUAAAAUAAAAAUAAAAAGGCAAGAAAAAAAUGUCUGAGAGCCAGGACAGGGCCUCCCCGGGAAGAUCUCCACUGUUACCACCACUGUCCAGCACAGGUGCCCGAGGAAACACCAGCAGAAGCCCAGCUCAGGACUCACUGGGCACGUCUGGGUCUCCUGUGCACUUAUCUCAUGGCCCCACACGCAUGUGGUCGGUGUGAUGUUGUCCUGCAGACAAAUCCCAUGAUACCUCGUGGAGGCAGCCAGGAUGUGUGCUGUCCGUUCCCAGGACAGCUCAGCUACAGGCGUCAGCACUCACUGCAGUGCCUCCUCUCCUCACUCCAGAGUCUGCUCAGUGGCGCUGUCUACUCUCCGUGACUCAGAGUUCCCCGGAGUCAGAGCCCGGCACACAAUCUGGGUGCUCAGGGGUGUCUGUGGGGUGAGAGACUGACAGGAGAAGGAUGGGGGCCUGGAGGAAGAGCUCCACAUGGCAGCAGUGGGGUGGCCACAGCUGGCCUUCCUCACACCGCCAAGAACCAUGGACUCAUUCCACAGACAUGUAAGGAGCCAUGAUUGCUCCUGAGGGCGGGGAGCCCUUUCCACCCUGGCCUCUGGGGUAGCCGCCUGCCAUGGUGCUGCCGGCUGCCUCCUCCAGCCCCCCCUGGCCACCAGGAGCCGCCCCUCCCCCGCCUGGCUCCUCCCUGGUCUAAGCAGACCUGCACCCCAAUGUCCUCGGGUCCUUCCCAGCUGUUUCUGCCCCAAACCCCCCUUUUGCUGGAAGCAGGGGCCGGGGCCGGUGAGCGGGCAGAGCUGCCCAGGGUUGGGGCUGGGGGAGCUUCUGUUCCGAGUGGACUUGACCUUUUUCCUGAGUUCAAAGUAGCGUGAGUUUUUCUUCUGAAUUUUGUCCCAGUUCGCAAAGGGCAGUGAGAAGUGGAGGCACCCAGAUCUCCCCUCCGCCCACCCCUCCUGACCCCCGCCCGCCCCCUCCCCAACGCCCCCCCGUGGAAGGGGCCUCUGCAUUGUCCCCUGCCCCACCUCACUCGGGCACACACCCUAUGGGGGUGGGGGGCAAUGAGGCGGGCCAGGGGCCCAGGAGAGGAGCAAGGUUGGGCUCCUUGGGCAGAGGGGCAGCUGGGGGCAGGGGAGGGGCCUGGCAGCGGGCUCCAUGGUCUGCGACCCAGGAAGGCAGGAGGGGGACGGAGAUGCUGGCUCUGAGAAGCGCGUGGAAACAAUUCACCAGCAUCUGCCCAGAAAGAAAGUCAUUGAUGAGGUG